AUGAUGAUAUCCUUGAGAGUUUUACUGGUGAUCCUGUGGCUUCAGUUAAGCUGGGUUUGGAGCCAACGGAAGGAGGUGGAGCAGGAUCCCAGACCCUUCAAUGUUCCAGAGGGAGCCACUGUCGCUUUCAACUGCACGUACAGCAACAGUGUUUCUCAGUCUUUCUUCUGGUACAGACAGGAUUGCAGGAAAGAACCUAAGUUGCUGAUGUCCGUCUACUCCAGCGGUAACGAAGAUGGAAGGUUUACAGCACAGCUCAGUAGAGCCAGCCAGUAUAUUUCCCUGCUCAUCAGAGACUCCCAGCUCAGUGAUUCAGCCACCUACCUCUGUGCGGUGAACACACAGUGCUCCUCAGACACCUGCAGUCUGUACCCAAACCUGCUGGGCCCCAGGAAUGCCUGA